rnacentral:rRNA from 1 species
GUCUUAUUGUAUUUAUAAUAAGUCUGACCUGCCCGGGGUAUUAACGGCCGCGGUAUUUUGACCGUGCGAAGGUAGCAUAAUCAUUAGUCUUAUAAUUGAAGACUGGUAUGAAAGGUUUGACGAGGAGGAGCUGUCUUUUUUAUUUUUAUUGAAUUUUAGGUUCCCGUGAGGACGCGGGAGAGAGGUUAAAAGACGAGAAGACCCUAUCAAACUUUAUAUUAGCUCUUUUAAAGGAGGGGUAUUUUGCUGGGGCGGCAGGCUUGAAAAGUAAACUUGUUUUAAUUAGGAAUGCACUUUAUAUAUUUUUGUGAUCCAUUGAUUAUGAUAUUAAGACAAGUUACUGUAGGGAUAACAGCGUUAUUGUUUUGGAGAGUUCAUAUUGAUAAAACAGUUUGCGACCUCGAUGUUGAAUUAGGGUCUUUUAUAUGGCUGUAUUGGGUCUAUUAAGAUAGUCUGUUCGACUAUUAAAUUCCUACA